CUUGAGAUGGGAAUAAACCCGGGAAACUGGGUAUAAUACCCGAUAGAUCUCGACUGCUGGAAUGCAUCGAGAUCCAAAGCUCCGGCGCUCAAGGAUGGAUCUGCGGCCUAUCAGGUAGUAGUGGGUGUAGCGUACCUACUAGCCUACGACGGGUACGGGUUGUGAGAGCAAGAGCCCGGAGAUGGAUUCUGAGACACGAAUCCAGGCCCUACGGGGUGCAGCAGGCGCGAAAACUUUACAAUGCUGGAAACAGCGAUAAGGGGACCUCGAGUGCCAGGUUACAAAUCUGGCUGUCGUGAUGCCUAAAAAGCAUUGCAUAGCAAGGGCCGGGCAAGACCGGUGCCAGCCGCCGCGGUAACACCGGCGGCUCGAGUGGUAACCGUUAUUAUUGGGUCUAAAGGGUCUGUAGCCGGCCGGAUAAGUCUCUUGGGAAAUCUGGCAGCUUAACUGUCAGGCUUUCAGGAGAUACUGUCUGGCUCGAGGCCGGGAGAGGUGAGAGGUACUUCAGGGGUAGGGGUGAAAUCUUGUAAUCCUUGAAGGACCACCAGUGGCGAAGGCGUCUCACCAGAACGGACCUGACGGCAAGGGACGAAAGCUAGGGGCACGAACCGGAUUAGAUACCCGGGUAGUCCUAGCCGUAAACGAUACUCGCUAGGUGUCGGCAACGGUGCGACCGUUGUCGGUGCCGUAGGGAAGCCGUGAAGCGAGCCACCUGGGAAGUACGGCCGCAAGGCUGAAACUUAAAGGAAUUGGCGGGGGAGCACCACAACAGGUGGAGCCUGCGGUUUAAUCGGACUCAACGCCGGAAACCUCACCGGAUAAGACAGCGGGAUGAUAGCCAGGCUGAAGACUUUGCUUGACUAGCUGAGAGGUGGUGCAUGG
rnacentral:rRNA from 1 species